GCGCGAAAGGCGUGAAUAAGGUGCGUCAUGGCGUAUGAGUAACUGCAAAUUCUUAGAUUUUUCUUGAUUGAAAUGGAAAGAUUCAUUACUUUUACUGCUUCCACAUUAAGGUAUCACACGGCGUAUGAGUAACAUUCUUAAUGUUUAUUUAUUUACUUGUGAAUGCUACUCAUAAAAGUUUGUAAGCAACAAAAAAAGCAAAAAAAAAUUAAAUUGAAAUGUAAAAAAGUGGAAUGCAAAGUAAUGAAAUGAAACGAUAUGGAAUGAAACGGAAUAUAUUAAAAUGGAACGGAACGGUUUGGAAUGAAUGGUAUAAAAAAUUAAAAGUAUUGAAAUGAAACGAAAUGGAAUGAAACGGAAUUUGAUAAAAUGUAACGGAACGAUUUGGAAUGAAACGUUAAAAAAUUAAAAGUAUUGAAAUGAAACGAAAUGGAGUGAAACAGAAUUUGAUAAAAUGUAACGGAACGAUUUGGAAUGAAACGUUUAAAAAAUUAAAAGUAUUGAAAUGAUAUAGAAUGAAACAGAAUAUAUUAAAAUGGAACGGAACGAUUUGGAAUGAAAUGUAUAAAAAAUUAAUUGUAUAUAGCUUAAUACAUUAUACAUAAUAAAAUGAUCAGUUUUGAGCUUCUAUUUCAGA